rnacentral:rRNA from 1 species
AUACGGAGGGUCCAAGCGUUAUCCGGAGUCAUUGGGUUUAAAGGGUCCGCAGGCGGGAAAAUAAGUCAGUGGUGAAAGCCUACAGCUCAACUGUAGAACUGCCAUUGAUACUGUUUUUCUUGAGUAUAGAUGAAGUGGGCGGAAUAUAUCAUGUAGCGGUGAAAUGCAUAGAUAUGAUAUAGAACACCGAUUGCGAAGGCAGCUCACUAAACUAUUACUGACGCUCAGGGACGAAAGCGUGGGGAGCGAACAGGAUUAGAAACCCUAGUAGUCC